rnacentral:rRNA from 1 species
UACGGAGGAUGCGAGCGUUAUCCGGAUUUAUUGGGUUUAAAGGGUGCGCAGGCGGAUUUUUAAGUCAGCGGUCAAAUCGUGGGGCUCAACCCCAUCCAGCCGUUGAAACUGGGGAUCUAGAGUGUGCGAGAGGUAUGCGGAAUGUGUGGUGUAGCGGUGAAAUGCACAGAUAUCACGCAGAACCCCGAUUGCGAAGGCAGCAUACCGGUGCACAACUGACGCUCAGGCACGAAAGCGUGGGUAUCGAACAGG